CUGUGUGGCACCCUGCUCUAGAGAUUGGCAGUCUUAUAGAAAAUAAUGUGAUUGCCAUCUCUUUGAGUAGAGUGAUACAUGG
rnacentral:pre_miRNA from 1 species